AUAUGAAGGAGAUGAAUCACCUUAAAGAUGAAAUAAGAGCUCUUCAUCUUGCUAAAUAUAGUAUCGAGAAAAGGGCAAGUGAAUUGGACCGAGAACAGCAAAUUCAAGCGACAGCUCAAGAACAUCACGUCAAACAAUUGACAGAGAUGGAAAAGAAAUAUCAUGAAGCAAUAUCACAAACAC